AUUGAACGCUGGCGGCAGGCCUAACACAUGCAAGUCGAGCGGAUGAAGGGAGCUUGCUCCUGGAUUCAGCGGCGGACGGGUGAGUAAUGCCUAGGAAUCUGCCUGGUAGUGGGGGAUAACGUCCGGAAACGGGCGCUAAUACCGCAUACGUCCUGAGGGAGCAAGUGGGGGAUCUUCGGACCUCACGCUAUCAGAUGAGCCUAGGUCGGAUUAGCUAGUUGGUGGGGUAAAGGCCUACCAAGGCGACGAUCCGUAACUGGUCUGAGAGGAUGAUCAGUCACACUGGAACUGAGACACGGUCCAGAGUCCUACGGGAGGCAGCAGUGGGGAAUAUUGGACAAAGGGCGAAAGCCUGAUCCAGCCAUGCCGCGUGUGUGAAGAAGGUCUUCGGAUUGUAAAGCACUUUAAGUUGGGAGGAAGGGCAGUAAGUUAAUACCUUGCUGUUUUGACGGUACCAACAGAAUAAGCACCGGCUAACUUCGUG
rnacentral:rRNA from 1 species